GCCUGGGUGGCUUGGUCGGUUAAGCGUCUGACUUCAGCUCAGGUCAUAAUCUCACGGUCCGUGGGUUCGAGCCCCGCGUCCAGCU
rnacentral:tRNA from 1 species